UCCACACAAUCAUCAUCACCAUCGCAAUCUCAAUCCGCAGGAGCAGCAUCUCUGUGUUUUUUGUCCUACUAUCAUCUCACAAUUAUCAAGGAUUAAGGAUAUACACUUCGCCAAUGUCACCACCUUCUGUUAUAUAAUCCCUGAAAACGAUAUUUGCAGAUAAACAGCAUUGAUGUAAUUAAUUAUGGAGAGGCAUGGAGAAAUCAUCCAGUAGUAGAACAAUAGAAUACACCGUUCGUCCCAAUCGAGAAAUUCCGCUCUUCUGCUAACUCACUAACCCCAAACAGAAGCUCAGAUUCUCUAUUGGAUUCGCACCACUAGUUCGAUUCAGUAAUGGCGCUGUUUCGCAAGUUGUUCUACCGCAAGCCGCCUGAUGGCCUUCUCGAGAUCUGCGAGAGAGUUUAUGUGUUUGAUUGUUGUUUUACAACUGAUUCUUUGGAGAAACAAGAUUACAAAGGCUAUGUGGGAGGCAUUGUCAGCCAACUGAGAGAAAACUAUCCUGAUUCUUCAAUCUUAGCUUUUAAUUUCCGAGAAGGGGAGACACAGACCGAGAUAGGGAGUGUGUUGACAGAAUAUGAUAUGACCGUAAUGGAGUAUCCUCGCCAAUAUGAAGGUUGUCCGCUCCUCCCAAUGGAGGUUGUUCACCACUUCUUAAAAUCUAGCGAAAGCUGGCUGUCACUUGGGAUCCAAAAUCUGCUUCUCAUGCACUGUGAAUGCGGUGGUUGGCCUGUUUUAGCUUUCAUGUUGGCUGCUUUGCUGAUCUACAGAAAGCACUACAGUGGGGAACUUAAGACCUUGGACAUGGUGCACAAACAAGCUCCUCGAGAGCUUUUAUACUUGAUGUCCCCCUUGAAUCCCAUUCCUUCUCAGUUAAGGUACUUGCAAUAUGUGACAAGGAGGAACGUCGCAAUACAAUGGCCACCGAUAGACCGGGCACUCACCUUGGAUUGUAUUAUUAUGAGAAUGAUUCCUAAUUUUGAUGGCAAGGGUGGUUGCCGACCAAUAUUUCGUAUUUAUGGACAAGAUCCAUUUUCUGUUUCUGAGCGUGCACCCAAGGUCCUAUUCUCCACUCCAAAGAGGAGUAAAGCUAUUCGACACUACCAGCAGGGUGAAUCUGAAAUAAUAAAGGUUGACCUCAAUUGCCACAUUCAAGGUGAUGUUGUGCUGGAAUGUAUCAGCUUGAAUGAUGACAUGGAGCGGGAAAAGAUGAUGUUUCGUGUCAUGUUUAACACUGCUUUUAUAAGGUCAAAUAUUUUAAUGCUCAAUAAGGAUGAUAUUGAUAUUUUAUGGAAUGCAAAGGAACAAUUUCCUAAGGACUUCAGGUCAGAGGUUCUUUUCUCUGAGGACACUACCACUUCCCUGGUUCGUGUGAACUCCUCCUGCUUUGAGGAGAAGGAUGGCCUUCCAGAGGAGGCCUUUGCUAAAGUUCGUGAAAUGUUUAAUAGUGUGGAUUGGUUGGUUCCGAAGGGAGAUUCUGGAGUUGAAGUUUUAAAGGAGAGCCUUGCAGCAUUAGAUGUUCAAUCUCUUUCUAAGAGCCAAACAAGUCUAAGUUCUGAGAACCAAUCUGAUUUAUCACCAAAAUUUUCCCAAAACACUGAUACGGCUAGUAUUCAAGCUGACCACCAAUUUUCACCGACUGAUACGACAGCAGUCAUAUCCUCGAAGCUAACGCUAAUCCCUUCUGGUGAUCAUUCUCCACCCUCAUUGACUUCACCACAUCAUCAAUUUUCUAUAACAAAAACUCUUCAUUUGUCACCCAGACAACAAUAUGAAACAAAGGCUGAGGCCAAAGAUGUCUCUCCUUUAUGUGCACCUAAAGAAACAUCGUAUGCUAAAACCUCACCUACAAGUGCACCAUCUCAGUCAGCAAGAGAUGCAGGUGCCUUCUUUGGACCUUCUCCUUGUAGUCAACAAACAUCACCUUUUACCCAUUCAAAGGAUAAAAUCGGCUCCGUAAGUGCAUCCCAUUCAAUCCCACUUCUGCCACUGGAGAUCGCUAGUGGUCGCUCUUUUAGGGACGAAAAUAUAUGUAUGCCCGAUAUUUUGUCCACUCAUACAAAAUGUCCAAAGAGUCAAGAUAGGGUCGUAGAGGAUGAACUUUCUAAAUCUGAAUAUCUUCUUUCAUCAGCAUUUUCAGCUGAAGAUUUACCAGAAUCCCCUAAAGCCGGAACUCCUCCAACUCCUCCUGUGUCUGAUCUGCAUGCAGCUCCUACUGGGGUUAAAUCAGCUUCUGUAUGUGGUCCAGCACAACCUGCACCUAUUCCUUCUCCACCACCACAACUACCACCACCUCCUAAGGAAAGUUGUAGCGGUGGGGAGUCUACUCCACUUUCUGGGGUUGGUGCAUCUCCCUCAAUCCCAAGUAUGGGGCAUAGCUCAGGCGUAGUAUCUGUGCCUUGUCCCCCACCUCCCCCUCAGCUCCCUGAAGAGAUAUCUGGUGGAGGAGGGCCUCUGUGUCCUAUACCUCCCCUGCAUCCCAUGGGACCUAAUACUCCACCAUAUGUAUCUCCACCACAGCCUCCUCCACCCCCUGCCAUCCCCACUACCAAGAGUUCUUCAAGUGUUCCUUCAGCACCUCCUCCACCUCAUUUUACAAACAAUGCUGCUAGUGGAGGCAGUUUGCCUGGAGUUCCGUCUCCCCCACCACCUUUGGCCCCUCCACCUGGGACAAAAGGGAAAGCCUUGUUGUCGCGUACACAGGUUUCAAAAAAUAACCAAUCGAAAAAAUUGAAGCCAUUGCAUUGGCUAAAAAUAUCAAAAGUUGCUUCAGGAAGCUUGUGGGCUGAGACUCAAAAAUCUGAAGCUUCUAAGGCUCCGGAGAUUGAUAUUUCAGAACUUGAAUCUCUCUUCUCAGCAGCAGUUCCAAAUAAAGGUCAAGGGGGCAGAAAAACUGGUUCACUAGCUUCAAUAAGCAGUAAACCUGAAAAAGUGCAAUUGAUAGAACACAGGCGUGCAUACAAUUGUGAAAUAAUGCUGUCAAAAGUGAAGAUACCCUUGCAAGAUAUGCUGAGUUCAGUACUUUCCUUGGAAGACUCUGCAUUAGAUGUCGACCAGGUUGAUAACCUAAUCAAGUUUUGUCCAACUAAAGAUGAGAUGGAAGUUCUAAAGAGUUACAAAGGUGUGAGAGACAAUUUAGGCAAAUGCGAACAGUUCUUUUUGGAUUUGAUGCAUGUGCCACGGAUAGAACAUAAGUUGAGAGUUUAUUCCUUUAAAAUUCAGUUCCGCGGCCAGGUUUCUGACCUCAGGAAGAGUUUGGAUGUGGUGAAUUCUGCUUCAGAUCAGAUCAGGGGUUCUGCUAAGUUGAAAAGAAUCAUGCAAACAAUUCUUUCUCUGGGUAAUGCUUUAAACCAGGGAACUGCUCGAGGAUCUGCUGUGGGGUUCAGAUUGGAUAGCCUCCUCAAACUUACUGAGACUCGUGCCCUGAAUAAUAAGAUGACCCUGAUGCAUUAUUUGUGCAAGGUUCUUUCGGACAAAUUGCCGGAGCUUCUUGAUUUUUGGCAAGACCUUUCCAGCCUGGAAGAUGCGUCAAAGAUACAACUGAAAUUUUUGGCUGAGGAGAUGCAAGCUAUUAACAAAGGACUUGAAAAAGUUAUGCAGGAGUUGUCCAUGGCAGAAAGUGAUGGCCCUGUCUCCGAACACUUUUGUCAAGCACUGAAGGAGUUCCUUUGUUUUUCCGAAGGUGAAGUCAGGACAUUGGCUUCACUUUAUGCUACAGUGGGGAGGAAUGUAGACUCAUUGAUCUUAUAUUUUGGGGAAGAUCCUGCGCGUUGCCAAUUUGAGCAAGUGAUCUCGACUCUCUCAAACUUUGCAAAGAUGUUCAAGCAUUCCCACGAGGAAAACUGCAAGCAGUUAGAGUUUGAGAAAAAGAAGGCAGAGAAAGAAGGCGCAGCAGAACCUACAAAGAUGAAUGCCUCUGAUACCGGACAUUUGUUACAAUCACAAGUUAAUAGUGUCAAUUAACUGGAACCAAAUUUGGCUGAAGCAGAGUUUGAUAAAUUUACGUUCCGGAUUGGCUGAAAUGAUCUUUCUGGAACUAAAUAGCCCGCCUUGCUGGGCAGCCGCCCGAUGAUGGCCUAUUCCCCUGUUGGACAGUUUGGUGCAGAAGAACUUCAUUAUCAAAUAUGAUGACAGAUGCCAGAAUUUGAUAUGAUUGGUUUGACGAAGAGCAAGAUGAAGAUCUUGAGAAACUGGCAGAGGUAAUUGGAAGCACAAGCCGUAUUGCAUGGGCCAUCAAAGAAGAAUUUCGUUUACUUGAAGGACUCGACGCUGGUGUGAACAAAUAUGUUGAGGUUCCAGACUCCAAACAACAGCGAGUGCAGAGAAGGCUUGAAAUCUCAAACAAACGCACAAUGCUUCUGCUCUUGCCAUUAAUAGGAAUUAUUGUGUUGGCUGCUUUCAUUUAUAUACUCACCAGGUAUUUGUAAAUUUGUAAUGAACUUUUGUAAUAAAGUUGUGUACAUGCUCUAAUAAUAUAUUUAUCAUCAUUAUGUUUUUAAUUAA